rnacentral:rRNA from 1 species
GACGAACGCUGGCGGCGUGCUUAACACAUGCAAGUCGAACGAAGUGGCGAACGGGUGAGUAACGCGUAAUCAACCUGCCCUUCAGAGGGGGACAACAGUUGGAAACGACUGCUAAUCCCGCAUACUGAAGGAGGGGAUUGCGUCUGAUUAGCUAGUUGGGGGGGUAACGGCCCACCAAGGCGAUGAUCAGUAGCCGGGCUGAGAGGAUGAACGGCCACAUUGGGACUGAGAAACGGCCCAGACUCCUACGGGAGGCAGCAGUGGGGAAUCUUCCGCAAUGGACGAAAGUCUGACGGAGCAACGCCGCGUGAGUGAUGACGGCCUUCGGGUUGUAAAGCUCUGUUAAUCGGGAUGCGGUACCUAUUCAGAAAGCCACGGCUAACUACGUGCCAGCAGCCGCGGUAAUAC